UACGAAGGGGGCUAGCGUUGUUCGGAUUUACUGGGCGUAAAGCGCACGUAGGCGGAUCGUUAAGUCGGGGGUGAAAUCCUGGAGCUCAACUCCAGAACUGCCUUCGAUACUGGCGAUCUCGAGUCCGGAAGAGGUGAGUGGAACUCCUAGUGUAGAGGUGGAAUUCGUAGAUAUUAGGAAGAACACCAGUGGCGAAGGCAGGUCUCUGGGCCACUACUGACGCUGAGAAGCGAAAGCGUGGGGAGCGAACAGG
rnacentral:rRNA from 1 species